UACGUAGGGGGCCAGCGUUGCUCGGAAUUACUGGGCGUAAAGGGUUCGUAGGCGGUGUGGCAAGUCGGGAGUGAAAUCUCUGGGCUUAACUCAGAGGCUGCUUUCGAAACUGCCGUGCUAGAGUGCGGGAGAGGCGAGUGGAAUUGCAGGUGUAGCGGUGAAAUGCGUAGAUAUCUGCAGGAACACCCGUGGCGAAGGCGGCUCGCUGGACCGCAACUGACGCUGAGGAACGAAAGCUAGGGGAGCAAACAGG
rnacentral:rRNA from 1 species